rnacentral:rRNA from 1 species
UGCCAGCAGCCGCGGUAAUACGGAGGGUGCGAGCGUUAAUCGGAAUUACUGGGCGUAAAGAGCACGUAGGUGGUUUAUUAAGUUGGCUGUGAAAGCCCCGGGCUUAACCUGGGAUGGUCAGCCAAGACUGAUAGACUCGAGUACGGUAGAGGGGUGUGGAAUUUCAGGUGUAGCGGUGAAAUGCGUAGAGAUCUGAAGGAACACCAGUGGCGAAGGCGACACCCUGGACUGAUACUGACACUGAGGUGCGAAAGCGUGGGUAGCAAACAGGAUUAGAUA